AUCACUUCUCGGCCUUUUGGCUAAGAUCAAGUGUAGUAUCUGUUUUAUCAGUUUAAUGUCUGAUGUCCUCUAUCCAAAAACAAAAGCUGAGAGCCCCAGAUGGAUUCCCUAGUGAAUUCUUUCAAACCUUC
rnacentral:snRNA from 1 species